AUGAACGCUAGCUACAGGCUUAACACAUGCAAGUCGAGGGGCAGCAUGGUCUUAGCUUGCUAAGACUGAUGGCGACCGGCGCACGGGUGAGUAACACGUAUCCAACCUGCCGUCUACUCUUGGACAGCCUUCUGAAAGGAAGAUUAAUACAAGAUGGCAUCAUGAGUCCGCAUGUUCACAUGAUUAAAGGUAUUCCGGUAGACGAUGGGGAUGCGUUCCAUUAGAUAGUAGGCGGGGUAACGGCCCACCUAGUCUUCGAUGGAUAGGGGUUCUGAGAGGAAGGUCCCCCACAUUGGAACUGAGACACGGUCCAAACUCCUACGGGAGGCAGCAGUGAGGAAUAUUGGUCAAUGGGCGAGAGCCUGAACCAGCCAAGUAGCGUGAAGGAUGACUGCCCUAUGGGUUGUAAACUUCUUUUAUAAAGGAAUAAAGUCGGGUAUGUAUACCCGUUUGCAUGUACUUUAUGAAUAAGGAUCGGCUAACUCCGUGCCAGCAGCCGCGGUAAUACGGAGGAUCCGAGCGUUAUCCGGAUUUAUUGGGUUUAAAGGGAGCGUAGAUGGAUGUUUAAGUCAGUUGUGAAAGUUUGCGGCUCAACCGUAAAAUUGCAGUUGAUACUGGAUAUCUUGAGUGCAGUUGAGGCAGGCGGAAUUCGUGGUGUAGCGGUGAAAUGCUUAGAUAUCACGAAGAACUCCGAUUGCGAAGGCAGCCUGCUAAGCUGCAACUGACAUUGAGGCUCGAAAGUGUGGGUAUCAAACAGGAUUAGAUACCCUGGUAGUCCACACGGUAAACGAUGAAUACUCGCUGUUUGCGAUAUACGGCAAGCGGCCAAGCGAAAGCGUUAAGUAUUCCACCUGGGGAGUACGCCGGCAACGGUGAAACUCAAAGGAAUUGACGGGGGCCCGCACAAGCAGUGGAGUAUGUGGUUUAAUUCGACGCAACGCGAAGAACCUUACCAAGGCUUGACAUAUACAGGAAUAUAUAAGAGAUUAUAUAGCUCUUCGGAGUCUGUAUACAGGUGGUGCAUGGUUGUCGUCAGCUCGUGUCGUGAGAUGUUGGGUUAAGUCCCGCAACGAGCGCAACCCUUCCUAUUAGUUGCUACGCAAGAGCACUCUAAUAGGACUGCCGUUGACAAAACGGAGGAAGGUGGGGACGACGUCAAAUCAUCAUGCCCCUUAUAUCCUGGGCUACACACGUAAUACAAUGGCGGUCAACAGAGGGAAGCAAAGCCGCGAGGCAGAGCAAACCCCCAAAAGCCGUCCCAGUUCGGAUUGUAGGCUGCAACCCGCCUACAUGAAGUCGGAAUUGCUAGUAAUCGCAGAUCAGCAUGCUGCGGUGAAUACGUUCCCGGGCCUUGUACACACCGCCCGUCACACCAUGGGAGUCAGUAACGCCCGAAGUCAGUGACCCAACCGAAAGGAGGGAGCUGCCGAAGGUGGGACCGAUAACUGGGGUG
rnacentral:rRNA from 1 species